rnacentral:tRNA from 1 species
GCGGGUGUCGUAUAGUGGCUAUUACCUCAGCCUUCCAAGCUGAUGACGUGAGUUCGAUUCUCAUCACCCGCUCCA